AUGCACUGUCUUUGAACCUGUGUUGCCCUCCGUGUGGCUCCAUAGGCUGACAUACAGCUGCAAGAGCAAAUCAAAGGCUUGUUAUAACUGGGGCUACUUGGCAUCGCAACCAGGUUUCUCUUUUAAAAGCAAGUCACAGCU
ensembl:snoRNA small nucleolar RNA SNORA50